CCGCCCCCGCAGAUUAAAUGGGCCGGCGGGGCUCAGCCCCCGGAAACGGCCGUACACUUCGGGGCUGCGAGCGCGGAGGGCGGCGGCGACGAAGCGCAGACAGCGUCAUGGCAGAGCAGGUGGCCCUGAGCCGGACCCAGGUGUGCGGGAUCCUGCGGGAAGAGCUGUUCCAGGGCGAUGCCUUCCAUCAGUCGGAUACACACAUAUUCAUCAUCAUGGGUGCAUCGCAGGCAGGAGGAGCCCCUUGGGUGGUUACAAAUUUGCGGCCACAUCCGGGAUCUCCUACUUGUGAUUCCUCAGCCCGCCCACCACCUUGAUGGACCUGGAGGUGAGCUCUGGUGACUGCUUAUUUAACUGAAGGCCAUUUCUGGCACUGUCCCUGCUUGUGAGGUGCGGCCAACCACCUCACAGCUUGGGCCCGAUUGCAGUGUAGAAACAGUUCCCGGAAAGCCGUCUUUCAACCGCUCUGGUGGGAAUUCUAGGCGCGACCAACACCUCCUUCCUUAUCCUGGUUAGUUCAGCUUCUUUGGAUGCCUCAGUUCGACUCCUUCUGGGAUCUGGGUUGUCUCUCCCUAAAUAGUAGGAAGAGUCUUCAUUUGGGAGAUUUCUCCUCAAUUGGGGACAUUUCUCAGAUGGAGAAUAGGAGGUUAGUUUGGAAGAAUACUCUUAAAAAUUCUUGGUCAGGAAUAUUGGUUUGGAAUCUUGGUCCAUCUCGUCUCUUUUGUGUGUGUGUUUUGUACAUGUGGAGGGGAUCUCUCAAGGAACUGCUGAUGGAAGUUCCACAGGCCUAACUCGGAGAACCUUCCUUAUUUGUCUGGUCACAUUCGUUGAGCACUGAAGGAACUGUUAGUGGAAGCUCAACAGGAACAGGCCUGUCUCAGGGUGACCGUCUGCUCUUCAUCUUGCCCUGAGACCACCCAUCGAAUUUCCGGUUGGAGGUCAUCCCUCCCCACCUCCAAUGGAUCAAAGACAAUGGGGACCAAUGGGGGCAAGUUCGAACCUUGCCAGAUUGGAUUGCCAGAUUGGAUUGCCAGAUUGAUAUUGGGUGCUGACCAGGGUGACCAGCGUCGUUUUUGUUACAUAUAUUUUGCUUCGGCUGGGAUGGAAAAUGUUAAAAUUUUUUUUUUCAUCUGUUGCGCCUCUGGAUUUUCCACCUUUGUCCUCGGGUUGAGGGAAAGAUGCUGGGAUCAGGUAGUCAAGUAGUACAAGUUGUAAUUGAAGACAAUUUAGAAAUGGAAGAAGGCGAAAGUCAGUUGAGUCCUUCCUCAGCAUUAACUACUGACAGCAUUUUGGAAUAGUUUUAUAGUUUUCUAAUUGUAUUAGACGUUAACUUUAUAGCAAACACAUAAAGUAUAAGGUUUUGCAAGUUAAACGUCCGUUUUUCCUGAAAUUUCUUCCUGCGACAUAUGACUUCCACCUCUUUCUUAAAAACUUCAAAAUAGGCGGGCGCGGUGGCGCAAGCCUGUAAUCCCAGCACUUUGGGAGGCCGAGACGGGCGGAUCACGGGUCAGGAGAUGGAGACCAUCCUGGCUAACACGGUGAAACCCCGUCUCUACUAAAAAAUACCAAAAACUAGCUGGGCGAGGUGGCGGGCGCCUGUAGUCCCAGCUACACGGGAGGCUGAGGCAGGAGAAUGGGGUAAACCUGGGAGGCGGAGCUUGCAGUGAGCUGAGAUGCGGCCACCGCACUCCAGCCCGGGCGACAGAGCGAGACUCCGUCUCAAAAAAAAGAAAACAAACAAACUUCAAAAACAUGUUAUUGGAGGGCUGCAUGAAAGAUCCAUUACAAUGGAGUUGUUGAGCAUUUAAAUUGCUCUCAGUUUUCCACCUGUUGUAGAUAAGGAUUCAAAGAGAUUCUUGUCUAAAAGUCUCAACAGGAAUGGUUGUUUCUUUAACGCGGAUUCCAAGAGAUAGAAGUACUUUCCAUUACAUUUCUAUUUAUGCAUUUAAGGCUCGGGAUGUACACAGAAUGCUGGUUUCAAAGUAUUAAUUUUUGUUCCCCCAUGCAGCUUUUUGGGAGGCAUCUUGCAAAAUUGAGAGUUUUUUUGCCUGUGGUUCCAUGAAAUGGAAAAAGGUGGUUUUCCUUUGUGAUAUGACUUGGCCCCCACUGCUGUGAUGUGGCGAGCAGGGUUGCCAGGGCUGCUCAGAGAAAGGGAACCCAGACACCUGGCAUGCCGGCAAAAGGGUAAGAAGUCAGACUUCUGGCCUCUCUCUCUCUCUGUGCAAACUGGUGAAGUGAAUGAAAAGGAACUCAGACACAGAACAGUAGCUCAGUUUUAUUUUCAGCAGUAACAUUGCAGCACCAAUCCAAACACGUGGGGAGAGAGCAGUGAGGGGCCAGUCCAGGCACACAAUUCGCCUCACCCCUCAAAAGCACAAAGUGGCAACUGCUGUUAAGGAAUCAUUUCCCUAGGGAAGGAUGCACUGCCCAGGACCGACACAGGUUUAGGCCUCAACCCCCUUUUCCGGGCUGACGCUUAGCCAAAUUUGGUGGCACCAAGCGCUGCAUGGUCCGUAUCACCAUGGAAAGCUGGUUGAGCAAGAAGAUGACGGAAAGUUGGAGGAGACCAGAGUUGUUCGAAAUUAAUCGGCUAAAAGUGAGAGGAAAGAAAAGAAUUUUAUUAGAGAGGUGGCCUCCUGUUCCUCCCCCCACCCCCACGUCAUUAGACUUAAUCCUCAGGCGCCUCGCAUAGAGUGCCGACAUC
rnacentral:lncRNA from 1 species